CCUACGGGCGGCUGCAGUAAGGAAUAUUGGUCAAUGGACGCAAGUCUGAACCAGCCAUGCCGCGUGGAGGAUGAAGGUCCUCUGGAUUGUAAACUUCUUUUCUUUGGGAAGAAACUCCCGAUUUCCCUCGGGAUUGACGGUACCAGAUGAAUAAGCCCCGGCUAACUCCGUGCCAGCAGCCGCGGUAAUACGGAGGGUGCAAGCGUUAUCCGGAUUCACGGGUUUUAAGGGGUGCAGGGAUGGGCGUGGUGAAAUCUCCGGGCUUAACCCGGAAACUGCCAUUGAUACUAUUUGUCUGGAGUACUCUGGAGGUGAGCGGAAUAUGUCAUGUAGCGGUGAAAUGCUUAGAUAUGACAUAGAACACCCAUUGCGAAGGCAGCUCACUACGGAAAUAUUGACGCUGAGGCACGAAAGCGUGGGGAUCAAACAGGAUUAGAUACCCGAGUAGUC
rnacentral:rRNA from 1 species